rnacentral:rRNA from 1 species
UGAAUACGAGACGCUACGGCGCCGAAGCAGUCUAUGUCAUACUUCCAAGAAAAGCUUGCACUGUCAUAAACAAAUAAUGCCUGUACCAUAACCGACACAGGUGGGUAGGUAGAGUAUACUAAGGGGCGCGAGAUAACUCUCUCUAAGGAACUCGGCAAAAUGACUCCGUAACUUCGGGAGAAGGAGUGCCUUAAGAAAUUAAGGUUGCAAUAACAAGAUCCAAGCAACUGUUUAUCAAAAACACAGGUCUCCGCUAAGUCGUAAGACGAUGUAUGGGGGCUGACGCCUGCCCAGUGCCAGAAGGUUAAAGAAGUCGGUUAGCAUUAGCGAAGCUGGUAACUGAAGCCCUGGUGAACGGCGGCCGUAACAAUAACGGUCCUAAGGUAGCGAAAUUCCUUGUCGGGUAAGUUCCGACCCGCACGAAAGGCGUAAUGAUUUGGAUUCUGUCUCGGAGAGGGACUCGGUGAAAUAGACUUGUCUGUGAAGAUGCGGACUACCUGCACCAGGACAGAAAGACCCUAUGAAGCUUUACUGUAACUUGAAAUUGAAAUUGGACUUUACUUGCGCAGUAUAGGUGGGAGGCGUUGAGAAUAUUCUUGCGGGAAUAUUGGAGCCAUCAGUGAGAUACCACUCUUGUAAUGUUAGAUUUCUAACUUUGUAUCAUUAUCUGGUCAAAGAACAGUUUCAGGCGGGCAGUUUGACUGGGGCGGUCGCCUCCUAAACGGUAACGGAGGCGCACAAAGGUUUCCUCUGAACGGGUAGAAAUCGUAUCUAGAGUGUAAAGGCAUAAGGAAGCUUGACUGUGAGACCUACAAGUCGAGCAGGGACGAAAGUCGGUCUUAGUGAUCUGACGGUGCUGAGUGGAAAGGCCGUCACUCAACGGAUAAAAGUUACUCUAAGGAUAACAGGCUGAUCUCCCCCAAGAGUUCACAUCGACGGGGGGGUUUGGCACCUCGAUGUCGGCUCAUCGCAUCCUGGGGCGGUAGUACGUCCCAAGGGUUGGGCUGUUCGCCCAUGAAAGCGGUACGCGAGCUGGGUUCAGAACGUCGUGAGACAGUUCGGUCCAUAUCCGGUGUAGGCGUUAGAAUAUUGAGAGGAGCCUUCUUUAGUACGAGAGGACCGAGAAGGACAUACCUCUGGUGUACCAGUUAUCGUGCCAACGGUAAACGCUGGGUAGCCAUGUAUGGAGAGGAUAACCGCUGAAAGCAUCUAAGUGGGAAGCCCACCUCAAGAUAAG